GACCCUAUCAGAGGCAGUAAUCGAGGUGCUUGUACAACAAGAAAUAUUUUCCUUUUUUCACAGUUCUUACACGGUGCCAUGGCAUGAGCUUCUGCCAUCCCAUAUAUUUUCUGAAUUACAGGAAAGAGUCACACUCUCUGACUUUUCAAGAUUGAAAGGAAGACAUGCAGGAUCACUCCAUGUAGGCCUCCAGAGCUGCUCACCCAGGGUGACAACACCACGGCAAUCAGGAAAAUCAGUGCCAGGCAAGUGCGAAAAAUGUCCUUUUCACCCAGUGCCCUUGGAAUAACACAGAUUGCCUCGGGAGUUUGGAGACUGCCACUGCAAAACUACUGCUGCAGGGACAGACACUGAGGAUUUGGAGAGCCUGAACUCUUUAAACGAGCUGGAAAUAGGUCAGAUUCUGAUUGUUAGAAAACAACUCCAACGUGGGUGUUGCUAGACAGGUGGGACCUUGU
rnacentral:lncRNA from 12 species